UGGGGAAUUUUGGACAAUGGGCGAAAGCCUGAUCCAGCAAUGCCGCGUGUGUGAAGAAGGCCUUCGGGUUGUAAAGCACUUUUGUCCGGAAAGAAAUCCUUGGCUCUAAUACAGUCGGGGGAUGACGGUACCGGAAGAAUAAGCACCGGCUAACUACGUGCCAGCAGCCGCGGUAAUACGUAGGGUGCAAGCGUUAAUCGGAAUUACUGGGCGUAAAGCGUGCGCAGGCGGUUUGCUAAGACCGAUGUGAAAUCCCCGGGCUCAACCUGGGAACUGCAUUGGUGACUGGCAGGCUAGAGUAUGGCAGAGGGGGGUAGAAUUCCACGUGUAGCAGUGAAAUGCGUAGAGAUGUGGAGGAAUACCGAUGGCGAAGGCAGCCCCCUGGGCCAAAUACUGACGCUCAUGCACGAAAGCGUGGGGAGCAAACAGGAUUAGAUACCCCUGGUAGUCCACGCCCUAAAACGAUGUCAACUAGUUGUUGGGGAUUCAUUUCCUUAGUAACGUAGCUAACGCGUGAAGUUGACCGCCUGGGGAGUACGGUCGCAAGAUUAAAACUUAAAUGAAUUGACGGGGUCAUAGCUGUUUCCU
rnacentral:rRNA from 1 species